GCAAAACGGCCAAAACGGAACUUCCAUCGGAUCGACAUUACCCACCCCGGAUUCGAUCCCACGACCUCUCGGGUCUGGGACCGGUGCCUUAGCGAAGUGCGCCACAUUAGUUGACACACGAUUUACAUGGCACAGAAGAGAGGUUAAGGUGUGAGAAUUAACUCUCAAGAGCCCGAAGUAGCAUUUUAGCCAGAUUAGCAUGAUACGCUAAAAAUGCUAACGUUGCUCAAAGUUAACCAGAUAGCUCAGGAGACCCAUUAGAGUCAAUAGAAACGUGUUAGCAUUUCGGCUAAUUAGCAUGCUAAGCUAACUAGCAUAAAUCAACGAGCACAGGCACGGUCAAGUUCAGAGCUGUACAUAUCGGGAACGGGAGUGAAUAUCAAAAAUCUGUUCAGUCAUUUCUGUCAGGCCCGGUCUGAAGUUCAUCUGAUCAAAUUUUGGACAAAAUUGAACAAGAUUUCAGGGAGGAGUAGCGAAAAAACUGUAUUUCAUUCCAUUCAAUAUGGCGGACAGACGCCAUAUUGGAAAAUAAAAAUUGAGACAUCAUCAGAUUUGACAUAACCCACGGAAUGAAAUGACAUAAAAAUAACAAAAAUUGAUCAACAUUUACAGUAGUUAUAAGGGGUUUUGCGAGAAUCGUUAUAUCUCUUGAACACUAGGUGGCGCUGUCUUCUAACUUCCGGGGUACCUCCGGCACAUGUUGUUGAUGAUGCAUAUCGAUUUUUGUGAAGAUAUGUACAGUAGAUCAAAAGAUAUAGCAAUUUUUGACAAAUUUCAAAAUGGCGGACGGGUGGUCCUGGUGGUCUUGACAAAAUUGACAUCCACAGAUUCGGAUUGAUGUAAAGAAUCCAUAGAUAUCAAGAUCAUAAUUUUCUGAUGAAUUGUUCAGAAGUUAUAAGCAAAAAAGUGCAUUUUUGGUAUCUCAACACCCAUAGGUGGCGCUGUUCCCAAAUUUGGCGUGGACCCCCAGAUCAUGGUGUAGAUGAAGUGUACCAAGUUUGGUAUCGAUUGAUCAAAGUUUGGCCGAGAUACAGCAUCUCAACCGAUUUUAGGUCAGCCUCAGUAAGUUCACAGCAUCAUAACUUUUUUUUUCACUAGUGUUCAAAAAAUUCUGUUCAGUCAUUUCUGUGCGGCUCAGUCCAAAGAACAUCUGAGCCAAAUUUCAGAAGAAUUGGACCAAUUUUGAAGGAGGAGUAGUGUUUAGACUGAAUACUGUACUUUUCAAAAUGGCCGCUACUGUAAUGGGCGGAGUCUUAAUGUAAGAUAUGGAAUGGAAUCUCCAUGAAGAGACAAAAUAGAUGUACUAAGUUUUAUUUUCAUAGAAUAAGUGGUUCAAGAGUUAUUAACGUUUGAAUGUUGAAUUUUUGGACUGGUGGUGGCGCUAUAGAGUUUGGCCUAGAGACCCAAAAGUUGGUCAGAUCACUAAUAAUGACCAGUUCUACAAGUGUGCCAAAUUUCAUCAUUUUCCCAUGUUCCCUUCAUAGGGCUGCCAUAGACUCCCAUUGGACGAGAAGAAGAAGAAGAAUAAUAAUAAUAAUAAUAAUAAUAAAACAUACAGAUACAAUAGGGGCUACAGCCCUCUGGGCUUGGCCCCUAAUAAAGAAAACGUACAGAUACAAUAGGGGCUACAGCCCUUUGGGCUUGGCCCCUAAAUAUAGCUGCAAGCAGCGAUACCGGGGCCAAGCCCUGAAGGGCUGUAGCCAGAGCAACGAGCGGGACGAAGCA